rnacentral:lncRNA from 1 species
UUCCAGUAUAUAAAGAAUAUCCAGUUAUUUUACACAUGUAAUGUUACAGUAAUCAGUCCACAUUGUAAGAAAGCUAAAGGUGAAAGUAAAAUACUUCAAAUACCCAAAAUGUGCUUUGCCAACAAGGCAUUUCCUAGUACCAUAUGUAAGAAACAACCCCCAAAUUAGUUGAAAUUUUUUAUCUUUUUUCAUUCAUUAAACCCAAUGUGCUAUAGAUGCUCUACAUUACAUGACUUUAGAUCAAUGGGGAUUGUGAAUGUGAGGGAAACAAUUACUCUUAUCUUUCAUUCUGGAUACACACAAGAAUCUUCAAAGGUAAUUCUACCUAAAGGCUAGAUUUCUUUCAGUAAGGUUUCCAUCCUGAAUAUGACACAAGUUGAAGAAGCCACAUUUUCAAGGAAAAAAAAAAAUGUGCCUGUUCACACUUAUAUCCUUUCACCCCAGUCUCUGGAGUAGACACUGAAAAUUAACAUGCUUUGUGCCCUCAGAGGAUCUCCUAAGCUUCACAUUUCUUGUGAAAAGAGAGGAACACUCAGUGUUCCCAGCUGCACAUGGUCAUUUUUCUCUGUCCUUAAAGAAGGAAAAGGGGGUUACAGGAGCUAUAGACCUCAUAGCAUUCAACUCAGUGAUAAUUAGAAUGUGUGUUUGGGAGGCAAGUAUAUAAUUGCAUUAGUUAACCUUCUCUUCAAACACUUGAAACACACACAAAGCCUAGGAGCUAGAGGUCCUACUCCCUUCACAUAUGCGGGAUCUGUGCUUCACUAGCUGUUUUUUUUGCAAUCCCCCCAAGAGUAUACUGACCAUGCUUGUGCUUCUCAUGCUCUUUCUAGAGACAGCUGUGCAAUUUACUACCAGAAGUGUGCUUUCGUGGGAUUUUACCUGCAUGGCAGUUAGUGAAUGCCUUUCCUGUACCCCAACUCAAGAAACCAAGAGGGACAAGGCUCUUCACAACCUUUAAGUCAUGAGCAUGAUGAUCGGUAUUUGGCAACCAAAGAAGCAGAACUUUAACCUACAGACAUAAUGCUAACAUGCUUAUGCUCAGCAGAUGAACCUUUCGUCUCUUUGAGCUCAAUUUAUCAAGCAAAUACAAAUGUCUUGGCUGCAGAUAAAUGUCCUUGUUCUAAAUCUACCUAGGCCUAGAUAAUCAAAAGUUCCACAGAUGUAUUCACUGGGUACUGCAUAGACAUCAGAUGACCUUUGACUAAGGAUCAUGACACAUAUCCAACACCCCCUUGCCCCGAAUCACAUAUUUACAAAGAUACUGGAUACACACAGACUUUCAACCAAUCAUCAGUACAAAGGAUUCACAGAUAAGUUCUUCACUGAUAUACAUUCCCAAGUCACUUUAAGAAAGAGGAGAAAUGAUUUACCACUAGCUAUCUAAGAAGGAAAAGAAGGAUUUUCAAAACAUCAAUCAACAUGUCUACUGCACUUAGAUAAACAGCCAAAAAUAACAUUUAAAUUAAAUUACAAUACAUCUAUAUACCAUUUCACUGAAAUUACACAUAGAUAUCUACAUUAUAGCUACACAAAGUGCAUAGGCACUUUUCUUCAUGCGUGAACCAUGUGUUACUGUGUAUACACAAGAACUUCAUGCUUGACAGCUAUCUGUACUUGAAAAUCACAGAUAUAAUUGUUGCCAGUUGAGGGCACAUCUAAUCUGAUUGCUUAAUGAGGAGUGGAUUUAAAUACACACCAGUACACUUUCUAUGUAUCUAUUUCCUAAAACAUAGCAAAAAUACUAGCCCUACAAUCAUAUUAUCAGAAACUGUGUUUGGCGGAAGGAAGACCCUUCCUUGUCUUUGCAGUGAUUAUUGAUUUGUCUUUUGGGGAAAUUUACAUAGAUUGCUACUCACCUGAGGACAGAAUCUACCUGGGCUGCUUCUGAAUAAUUUCAGUGAGACUUUAAGCCCCAUUGAUAAAGUAUUGCUUCAUAGCUGGUACUAAUGUGUUUUAUUUUAACCUUAAAAAUAUGUGCUCAAUUCACAUAACAAUGUGACAUUUACUACCAAUUUGCUUGGCAAGAAUGAACUGCAACAAAUCUGUACUGAUUGGCUUCCUCACACUCACCCUCAAUCUCUGCUAUCCGAAGUUUUCCUAAGCUAAUUUUCACAUAAAUUAUUAGGAAGGCAUGGAGAUUAUAGAGAUGAUUCCACUAUUAAUCAUCUUAUUUUUCAUGUUCUUGGAGAAAAGCAAAAUUAGAAAGCUUAGGUGGAAUAACCAGAUGUGGUAUCAAAAAUAAAGAGUCAGCACCAUUCCUUGAGUUAAAAAGCCUAAUUGUUUAAAUAUUAUACAUAUCCUAACCAGCUAAAGGAUUUAACUGACUCUUUGUUCUUAAUGGUCAUUUUGUUCAUUGCAUCGCAAAGGACUGAGUUGUUACAUUUUUCAAAUGUGACUGUAUGCUCAGGAAACAAUGACAGCUCUAAAUUGCUGUAGAAAUGUCUUGUGCUUGAAUUAGUUGUAAUUAUACAUGUGUGGUUAUAUAGAAAAUACCGUAAGAAAAUAUCUGUCUGCAAAAUUACAGAUACUAAAUAGAUCCAUUCAGUCUACACUGAGUUCUUUAUGGUUUAUGAAGAAUAGAUACAAACCUAUAUAAAAUUAUUAAAGGCUAAAUCAAUAUUAAAUAUACACUAUCCAGGACUCUAAAUAAGUUUUCUCAUGCUUUUUAUAAAUAACAGCAAAGAAGCCCAGGGAUUUGUUUAAAUAAGAAUGUAAGGUUGGAUUGGAGGAAUCUGUGAAUUUGGGAGAGUACAAUACUGAUCAGAGGGCAAUAUAUUUUCCUUGGUAACAUAAAUUUUUACCAGGAAGCCAAAAUAUGUCUGCUGGCAGCAAGAUCAAAUUAGAUUCACAGUUUGC